UGGAAAUAAGGUCGAGGCAGACAGAAUUAGUUGAGUUGAAAUGAGGUCACACUGGAGUAGCAAUCGGGGGCCCUUGACUCAAGCGGACUGGCCUUGGUAAGGAAGGAGAGCACACAGGGACACGGGCCAGCGGGACGGCUCGCUGACGAUGGAGGCCGAGGUUGGGAGGCACAGCCAGGAGCUGCCACCAGACCCGGGACGGGCAGCAGGGAGCUCCUGAGAGCUCUGGGGGGAGCAUGGCCACAGCGACACCGUGUCUUUGGAUGUCUGGCCUCCAGAGCUGAGAGAUGAUGCAUUUCUGUCGUGUUUUGUGGUCUUCGUUCAGCAGCUCUGGGGCAGGAAGACAGUAGCCAGCAGCUUCUUGUCUCUGUGCUGAGAAAUCCAGACACAGUAAGGAGGUCUACAGGAAAACCACACCGAAGGCACAGUGUUCCCAUCGUGUAAUCGUCGGACUUUAGGAGAGUCAGGAGGUCCCGUUCCCCCACUGAACAGAUGGGAA